AUACGUAGGGGGCGAGCGUUGUCCGGAAUUACUGGGCGUAAAGGGCGUGUAGGCGGCCUAAUAAGUCAGGUGUGAAAUUCCAAGGCUUAACCUUGGCGCUGCACUUGAAACUGUUAGGCUUGAGGUCAGGAGAGGGAAGCGGAAUUCCCAGUGUAGCGGUGAAAUGCGUAGAUAUUGGGAGGAACACCAGUGGCGAAGGCGGCUUCCUGGACUGCACCUGACGCUGAGGCGCGAAAGCUAGGGUAGCGAACGGGAUUAGAUACCCCGGUAGUCCUAGCCGUAAACGAUGGGUACUAGGUGUGGGAGGUAUCGACCCCUUCCGUGCCGCAGUUAACGCAAUAAGUACCCCGCCUGGGGAGUACGGCCGCAAGGCUGAA
rnacentral:rRNA from 1 species